UACGUAGGGACCGAGCGUUGUCCGGAUUCAUUGGGCGUAAAGAGCUCGUAGGCGGCUGUUCAAGUCGAACGUGAAAACUCGGAGCUCAACUCCGAGCCUGCGUUCGAUACUGGACGGCUAGAGUCUGGUAGGGGGAUCUGGAAUUCCUGGUGUAGCGGUGGAAUGCGCAGAUAUCAGGAGGAACACCGGUGGCGAAGGCGGGUCUCUGGGCCGUAACUGACGCUGAGGAGCGAAAGCAUGGGGAGCGAACAGG
rnacentral:rRNA from 1 species